ensembl:lncRNA
GGAAUAUCCGAUUUGUCUGCUUACAUGGCACACGCAAAUGCACGUAUCCGAUUCAUAUCCGAUUUAUUACCACAUAUGAAUGAGGCCUGAAUCCGAUCUGAGAAAAUCGGAAUCCAUGCGGUUUUUUCCUGCUUACACGUUCACCGGUCAUAUCCGAUCUGUGCCACAUGAGAGGAAAAAAUCGGAAUUGGGUCACUUGAACCAUGCAGUGUAAAUGGGGCCCAAAACACGAUUGUGUUGCACAGCGGACUAAUACAGACGGUGAACCUCCCAGUGAUGUUUUAUUAAAAAAUUUGACAUAAACCAGAUAGGGCUAUAAUUCCGGUCCUGAAUGAUGAUUGAUCACUCGCUAUGAUGCGAAAUAGCGUUCACCUUAUUACCAAUCGCUGGUUUCAUGUUUAUGGUAGGUACUUAAAGAUUGUUUAAUAAAAAUGUCAAUUUUUAGAAUAAAAGCAUUGAAAAUAGUUCCAAACGAAACCAAAACCGAGUCGAACGCGCAGACUGAGAGAUGUCACACGUACAGGCGGACUAAUACGUAAUACGUUUCAGGAAAAUGUUAGGAACGCUGCUUGUCCAAUCAAACAAACCACAGAUAUCAGAUAUAGUUCCUAUGUUUGCUAAAGACUGAUCCCGUUAUGACACGUAACAGCGCACGAUCGCUUGCAACGUUCUGUCAAUUCAGGGACUAUAUUUUCUCGCGGAGGUGGGUUAGCUUAAUAAAACACCGUGGUUCCGUAAUAUUUCAGUCACUUGGGGGUCGUGCUGUCGUGGGCGAAGGCACGUCCUCUCGUGCACUGCUGUGGACAUGUGACGUUUAACCAAACCAGAGCAUGUUUUUCGUCAACCACCCAAACACUGAUAGAUAAAGACUGUCCUCUAAUAAGCUUGCACUUGAUUAGGCAGCAGCUGGCACCCGUUGUUGACGUGGUUCAUCACUCUCUGUUUUAACUGCGCCACUUGCUCUCUCAGCACGCUCGCGGUGGACGCGAGCUCCGUGUUCUGGCUCUUCAGGUUUUUCACUUUGUCUUCCAGCCGAGAUAUCCGCUCCAGUUUCCGCUUGCGGCAUUUGGAGGCGGCGAUGCGGUUGCGCAGCUUCUUCCUCUCGGCCUUGAUGCGCUCCUGCGUGUCCAUGUUGAUGGGGGAGAGCGGAGGACUGUCGCCGAAGCUCUGCAUGUCCGGCACGGUCUGCGGCUCGUCUUUUAGCGACGGCUGCGUUUGUUGCGCGGGCGGCGGCGGCGGAGGGAACGGGAUGGUGUCCGUGGAAUAGUUCACCGUGGUACUCCCGUACGUGCUCAAGUUCGUAUACACGGGCAGAUCCGUGGGCAGGGCGAGCGCGGUGCUGCUGGCGAGUCUGCCGAGCGUCGGAGGGACGCACGCUCCGCCGCUCAGCUGGUUCUGCUUGUGAAGGUCCUCCAGGGCUUUGACGAAGCCCUCCGCGAACUCCUGCUCGUCGCUUACCGACUUCGGGUAGACGAACUGGGAGGUCGGCGUGGUGGUCACCAUCCCGUUGGCCUGAAUGAUGAGCCUCUCCAGCUCCGGGGAAGCCAGCUUGAGGAGACCCAGGUCGGGUGAGCUGAGGAUCCCCUCGGCAUCCCUCAGAUCUGGCUUCAGGCUGGAGCUGUUCUGGUCGUUUAGGUUCAAACUCAUGUCUUUCUUCAUCAUGAUGCGCGAUAUUCCUCGGAUGUCCUCGUCUGGGUAAAGGCUUGUUCCCAUCUUACACCCCACAGAGGGGUGAGCUAUUUCUGCUGCCCAAGCGAGUCAUUUAGAUGAGCUUCAAUGUUCUUAAUUCUUGCCGAGAGCUUAUGUUUUUAAUCGAUGUUUGAUAUUGUUUUAUGAUAUCCUUGCUUCUCCCCGCGCGAGAGGUGUUAUCUGUGGGCGUCGGUACGCAUUUGCAAGUUUUCUAUCCCUAAAAAUUCCAUUAUGUCACUUUAGAGCGCUGAGAUUGGCCAAAGAUGACGUCCUCUUCCGGUUUGGUUUGCAUAAGGGGCCGCGCUCGUCGCUGUCGCCGCGGAGACGGAGAGUAAACGGCAAACAGUGCGGUGCAUUGUGGGUUGAUGUCAUAGCGAACGUAGAGCGCGCGAGGGUGGAGAAACGAGGCAGUCUGGCAGAAAAUGUUCCCUUGUUUUUGAACGCGUUGAAGGUCUUUGGAUGCUCGAGCAAGUGUUCCACUGUAGCUUCUUCUGAUGGAAUAAUCCACACCUCUCGUUAUGUCUAGGACUGUACUAGAAAUAGUACACAAUCAUCAAUAUUUCUUCACUUUAAGGGUUUAUUUCCACGUUUUGAAGGACAAGUUUUUCAAAACUUGUGAAUACCACUGUUAUAUAUAUAUAUGCAAAAGUAUAUACACAUGCUCUGUCUGGCAUUAUGCAACUGAUGUGAUAUUGAAACCGUUUUAUUAUUAGAAAACUACAUUAAUAUUAUGUCUCAUCAACAUUCUUAUUAUUAAUGUAGUUUUUGUAGUGCAGCCUAUGUAUUUUGCAUUUUAGUAGACGCAUAAGUAAUUUGGUAAAUGAAUGCAAAAUAAUAUUUGCAACAUGAAAGAAUAAUUUAAUAUUUUCAGAUAUAGAUUUAUUGUUCCAGAUUUCAAAGAAGAUACGAGUAAUUUGCUUUUAAAUGCAUUCAGAGUCUUGGUUGUGAAACAGAAUGUUGCAUAAUUAAUUAAAUUAUUACGAUGAAGGAUAUCAAAGCUCGUUUUAAUCUUAUUCUUAUAUGAGACUAAAUCUAGAUCUGGUAGCAUAUGUUGUGGUUCAAAAAAAAUAUUAAGUAUUUUUUCUCUGCCAUAUGUUGUGAGCGUGUUGAAUGCAGAAUGCAAUAUAAAAGUGUGUGUGUCUGUGCAUAUAUGCAUGUUAUUUCUUUUAUAUAUUAAACAAAAAAAAAAUUUUUACUGCCAUGUUAUGAGCAUGCAAAAAAAAAAUUACAUCUACUAUAUAUUGUUGUUUGGUUUAUACCUCAAAACUCAUUUAAUUUAUUUGACCCGUCAUAAAAUCCUUGAAGAGAACUUGAUAACUUUACUCAGAAAUCUUAAUCUUGAGGGAUUUGAUGAUGCUUUGAAGUUAAAUUGAAUUUAUGAAUUGAAUUCGCUUCUUUGGCAAGCCGUAGGAUUUCUAUAAAUAACACUGCAGGCCGUGAGUCUGACAGAGAGGGGGAGAUCUGAAUGGAUGUGAUGACGUCUGUAGACGUCUGCAUCAGAGAAUAGAAGCAGCAUCAUCCGUUGCCAUGGCAGCAGUGACGCAGAGGCAGGUGGAUUGCGCGGGUGAGGAUGUGCAGCGCUGCAGCGGAUGCUCCUCGAGUGGGUGGAAGAACACAACCAUUUCCAGCCUUUUAGGCUUCAGAAAUAACAGCUUACAAAAGCUGCAGGAAAAAUAAGAACCACACAGAAAGCUUGCACUUUAUUGUUAUUCAAAAAUAUAUAUUCGCUGCAGUAAUGCAUAAACUGCUAGAUUUGUAUUAUUAAUAUCCAUGCAGAUCAUGUAAUAUGUUAGUGAAUUUCCUUUUAUUUUUUUACUUUCAUUAUUAUUCAUUCUUUUAUUAUUCAUUUGACUGACUGAUAAUAUAUAUUAUAUAAAUUAUAUACAUAUUGUAUUAUGUAUUAUACAUAUGCUGUAAAUGAUUUUUGUCAAUAAAACAAACAUUGGAGAGUGGUUUACAA